CUGGGUAAUGGCACAGCUAGCGACCGGGUGACUUUAUUCACCCGCUUCGGAUGUUAUCAGUCCAUACAAUGGGCGUUAUUAGCAGAAAUCAGUCCCAUAGAUAUGGGCCAUCCACCUGCUAGAUUGUUCAGAAGGUUGUUAUCAUCCAUCCAGAUGGAGGAUCACUAACAGAAGCGUGGAAGACUCCAGAAUCCACUCUGGCUGGAAUCCGGUGGAUACAGCAGUGUUACAGAAGUUUCAUUCGUCAGUGUGAAGAGGGAGCUGCAGUGAGGACACAGCCUGGUCACUGAGGUCAGAGGAGGCGCUGAAAGGUUUCCCUAAUAGUUCCUGGUGAAUCAAAGCAGGACCAUAAAGGUUGCUGGACUGCAUGAUGGCCUUACCCCUGAGCAGUCAUCCUGUUAAAGGAGGAACCAGUUAGAAGCUGUUUUCAAACAGACAAAGCUGAUGGCAGAAGAUGUUUGGAGAAGAACUUCAGGCCGUGGACUGAAAAGUAGCUCAAAGCAGCUCGUGCUCUGUCUGCUUCCAUUCUGAUGGCAAGAAGAAGAAGAAGAAGAAGAAGAAGAAGAAGAAGAAGACUUCAGCGAAGUGGCGUUCAUGGUCUCAGUGGACAGUCAUGGUCACACACUACAUGUGGUUUUAAAAGCAACAUUGUUCACCACAACAAUGGAGAUGUGUAAUAUUAGUGCAGCUACAGUUUGUUCUUGAACAUCAGUUCUGUUUUCUACUUUGACCACUUAGACCAAAAAAGUGUUGUUUUCAGAUUCUUUCUUUUAAAUCUAUAAAGCACCUGC
ensembl:lncRNA